AUUGAACGCUGGCGGCAGGCCUAACACAUGCAAGUCGAGCGGAUGAAGGGAGCUUGCUCCUGGAUUCAGCGGCGGACGGGUGAGUAAUGCCUAGGAAUCUGCCUGGUAGUGGGGGAUAACGUCCGGAAACGGGCGCUAAUACCGCAUACGUCCUGAGGGAGAAAGUGGGGGAUCUUCGGACCUCACGCUAUCAGAUGAGCCUAGGUCGGAUUAGCUAGUUGGUGGGGUAAAGGCCUACCAAGGCGACGAUCCGUAACUGGUCUGAGAGGAUGAUCAGUCACACUGGAACUGAGACACGGUCCAGACUCCUACGGGAGGCAGCAGUGGGGAAUAUUGGACAAUGGGCGAAAGCCUGAUCCAGCCAUGCCGCGUGUGUGAAGAAGGUCUUCGGAUUGUAAAGCACUUUAAGUUGGGAGGAAGGGCAGUAAGUUAAUACCUUGCUGUUUUGACGUUACCAGCAGAAUAAGCACCGGCUAACUUCGU
rnacentral:rRNA from 1 species